CGCAAACGUUGUCCCGAGUGUUUAGCGCUCUGCACAGCCACCCCAAACUGUCAGCAGGGAAUACGUCGAAAUGCAUGGACGUCAUUAUUUGACACUUUAGUAUGGUUAGGGUUAGGGUUAGGGUUAGGGUUAGGACGCUAAGGACGGUCAGUGGGACCCGACACACGUCACCUCAUCUCCGAGUCCAGUGGUGGUUUCAAAAUGCUUUUAAGCUGACUUUCCUGCAAAAUUAAUGUGUGUGUGUGUUUGUGUGUGUGUGUAUGUGUGCGUGUAUGUGUUCAUGUCUGUGUGUGUGUUUGCUUGUGGGUGUGUGUUUGUGUGUGUGUGUGUGUGUGUUAAUGUCUGUGUGCGUGUGUGCGUGCAUACGUACGUGUGUGUGUGUGUGGAUAGGUGUAACCUGCUUAACCCAUUCCCCGUAUACAACCCAGAUAGCUAGGUUAACCCAUUCCCCGUAUAUAACACAGAUAGCUAGGUUAACCCAUUCCCCGUAUAUAACACAGAUAGCUAGGUUAACCCAUUCCCCGUAUAUAACACAGAUAGCUAGGUUAACCCAUUCCCUGUAUACAACACAGAUAGCUAGGUUAACCCAUUCCCCGUAUACACCACAGAUAGCUAGGUUAACCCAUUCCCCGUAUAUAACACAGAUAGCUAGGUUAACCCAUUCCCCGUAUAUAACACAGAUAGCUAGGUUAACCCAUUCCUAGUUGAGUGGAGGAUUCAAAUGAAGCAGUUUGUGUUUUAGACGAAGCGUUGUACUGUAACCUGAAGAGAUGUCUAACUUGAAUGAAUGAACGAUCUUUAUAU
ensembl:lncRNA